rnacentral:lncRNA from 1 species
UUAUUAAGAAUUUGUCCAUGUUCUCGGAUAAUUUAUAAACUACUUUAAAACACUUCAUAAUAGAGCGAGAUAGAUCACUCGAAUUAUUUAUGUGGUUCAGCAGGAUGUAACAGCUACACAGUAAGAAAAGACAGCUCUCUCUCUCUAUAAUAUAUUUGUUUUAAUAUCGGGCUAUUCCAUUAUUCCACUUGAGUUUCAAGUCAUCUGCAUAUGCAAAGCUAUCUGUAUGACUGUGAUCACAAACUGCAAUGUGACCAUUCAGUUCUAACGUUUUGGUUCACCUUAAAGACUUUCACGUCUCAUUGGCUUUUCAACAAGCCACUUGAAUAUAUCACCUGAUUUUAAUAUAAGACAAAUACCUUGCUACAUGUUUAAUUAUUAGAAAUGCAGAAAAUUGAAUACAAUUAACUUAAUUACUGAGGACAGAAUGAUUCAAUGGAAUUUUGUGCAUAGAUUCUCUGUAAGGAUGUGCAAUUGUUUAAGAAAGAACAUUUUAUGCUAACAAUAGAGACUAGCUUUUCACUCUGAGGGCUAAUGUAAUUCUACUGUCUUCAUAAUAUUUUUUCCUAUUAAAUGUAAGAGAGAGAUGGUUUGGGACACUGCAAAGCAUAUACGAUACUAACAAGAUCUCGUAUAGAGGGCAAGCCAGUGAGUUUAGAUCAAGAGUAGACUUUCCCCUUCCUAAGAAAAGCAAGACACCCCCUUGCUCCACCCUGAAGCAGACUGAUCAUUCUGACACAGCAUAGCCAGUUAAAAUAAUGAACAGAGAUCAAGGCUGUUUACGUUUCGAGAACAACAACAAACUUGAGACAACCAAAGGGUUUAAGUCAGAGUCCCACCAAAAAUGCACCUACCUUAAACAGCGUAGGUUUGGCUCCCAACUUUCUGAGCAGUUCUAGGAUGAGUUUGAGUGGAUCUGGGGCUCAAUAUGAAGCAAAACCCAUAGGCUCUUAGGAAGGUGAGUUAUUGUCUUAAGUCAAAUUAGACUAACCGUAGCUGCUUACAAAGAAAAAUAUAGUGGAGCUGAACCAAAACCAAACUGGACCCCAUUGCACCAGUGGGGCUCUGGUGUCAAGGGGCAAUUUGUAGCCAAGGAAGAACAGGAAGUGUUCAGGCCAGCGCUCUCCUCUUGGAGUGGGAGUGGAGUUCCACCAGCAGAAGGCAAUUUAAAGUGAAUUUCUUAGAAUCACAGAAUA